GACGAACGCUGGCGGCGUGCUUAACACAUGCAAGUCGAACGAAGUGGCGAACGGGUGAGUAACGCGUAAUCAACCUGCCCUUUAGAGGGGGACAACAGUUGGAAACGACUGCUAAUACCGCAUACUGAAGGAGGGGAUUGCGUCUGAUUAGCUCGUUGGAGGGGUAACGGCCCACCAAGGCGAAGAUCAGUAGCCGGUCUGGGAAGAUGGACGGCCACAUUGGGACUGAGACACGGCCCAGACUCCUACGGGGAGCAGCAGGGGGGAAUCUUCCGAAAUGGACGAAAGUCUGACGGAGCAACGCCGCGUGAGUGGUGACAGGCUUCGGGUUGGAAAGCUCUGUUAAUCGGGACGCGGUACCGGAAUAGAAAGCCACGGCUAACUACGUGCCAGCAGCCGCGGUAAUAC
rnacentral:rRNA from 1 species